GUUGAAAAUGCCACUCCUUCAGCUGUUCACAUAACUGUCACAGAAGAAGCCACUGUUGCAGCAGGAGAUAUUGCAAAAUAGCUGGCAAUUACACCACUGCCAUUCAUUCAAAUAAUACCAAUUUUUGUAAUUUCUUCAUUCACUAUUCAUGCCAGAUUUCCUGCUUUUAAAAUUAAACAGGGUCUUUGAAAUAGAAAAGUCAAACUCAUGAAAAACCUAGUUUUUAUAUGCGUCACAAAAAAAUACUGUAGCUUAAAAACUUUAAUUUAAAAACUUUAAAUUAAAAAAAAGUUUAACUUAUACUUUUCUAUUGUGUUUGUAAUUUGCUUCUUUGUUCCUAUUUUCAGUAACAAAAGUAAAAUAAAAUAAAAGUUGAGAUAUAUAUCGUUAUCGUGUAAUAAAACUUAUCAUACUGUCAAAUAGGAUUUUGAUCAUAUCGCCCACCCUUAAAGUGACUUCUUAUAUUUAAUGAGUAGGCCAACUUCUGACACCAAGAAGGCUAUGAUCUAAGACAUCAGAGGCAAUGGCUUUUUUUUUUUUUUUUUUUUUUUUUUUUUUUUUUUUGGGGGCUUUCACAUAGUUCUAAGCCAAAUUUUAUAUCAGUAAAAACUGCUCUUUAAGUUUUGUGAUACUUUUAAGGAGGCAUUUUACACACCAGGCCGGAACCACCAUCCACCAUCCACAGGCUUCAUUGAGGAGCGCUUACGAAACAUCAGAAAGAGAAUGAGAAAACUUUCCGGACCUCAAAGACAUGAAGAGGACACAUCACAUAGGAUGGUAAUCCCUGAACCUACUAUUCCAACAGAGAGAGCCCAAAGUCUUGUGAACUGGCUGAAAAAUAAUCAUGCACCUAUUAACCAAGUGGUAGAGAAUAUGAAGGAGACAACCUUAUAUCGGGCUAAGUGGAUACAUCAGAAUGGGACAAAGAGCAUCACAGAGGUUCUCCUUGAGUUCCCGCAUCUCUUGAACACACCUGGAAUGAUUUGCCAAGACUUUGAUCAGGUCCAUGGAGAAACUGGGCUGAAGCUUUUUGAAUCGUGGGCCAAUUUCUUUGGGCCAACAUUCCACAAUGUGAUAUUUGUUGUUUUAGAUCUUUAAACUCAUACAACAAAGUAUGUAAUAUCAUGAUAGUAUUUGUUUUUUUAUAGCUACAGCUCAUUAAAUUUAGUAUACCUUUGCUGGCAAAAUGAGUCGCAAUGAGCAAAUUUUCAAAAAUUCAUUAUUUUCAUAAUUCUCCAUAAAAAACCCUUGUAAAUUUAUGAUUUGUUGGAAUUUGACAAAAAUGAAUGAACUACACCCAUUAAAAGUUGAUAAAGUAAAUUUUGAGACAAAUCAAGUUUUUCUGAAGGUUCCAAUGCAUUCCCUAACAAUGUUGCUUAUUUUCCUCAAAUUCUUCUCUUAGUAAUUACUAUAUUAAUAUAUAUUACUAUAUUAAUAUAUAUUAAUCACAUUAUAGCUAUUUUAUAUCAUUUUAUGAAAAACAAGAAAAAAAAUGUGCAAAUAAACAGCAGAACAAAUAUAGGAAUGGAACA
ensembl:lncRNA